UUCUAAAUCACCGCGGCAAAAACCCGGCAGCCACGCCAUCGCUGUCGUCAGGCCACCACUCUCCACCAAGAACAGCAUCAUAUCUAUUGAUUUCCAUUGACUCACCUCUACCCUUGAAAGCCAACAGCUCCACGAAAUUCUAAAUUUAUAAUUUUUUGUAUAAAGUAAAAAAAUUCAAAAUAAAAACUCAAAAUCACCAAACCCUAUCAACAAAGGGUCGGGUGAGGUAGAGAUGCGACGGGAGUGGAGUGAGAUGGAGGUUGCGAGGUCCGACCUAACGGGUGGGUUAUGGGCAACGGGUAGGUUGCAUGGGAGAGCGGCUGUGAUGGGGUGGGGCCGUGGGGGGCUGGAUAUGCAUGACCUGCGCACUAGCGGAGUCGUGGGGCAAGUGAAGAAACGAGUCUGAUGGUUUUGUUUAAAUGGGCCCUUCUUCUAAAUAAGCUAGCUGCAGAUUGCAUCCAAGGUGUCAAAAGAGAUUUACAACGAAUAACGAGCAAAUAAAUAAUGAAGGAUAAUGUUGAAGUACCUCAACUGAAGAAAAUGUCGAGAUUGUGAUUGCUCCACCUCAUAAAAAAAUGGAUGAUUGCAAGGUUGUUGUGUGAAACGAGAAAUAGACGCUUCAUAUUGUAUCGGGCUGCACUGGAAGGUGAUUGGAACAGAGCUGAAAAAAUUUACAAUGUACAUAAAAUUGACCUAACUACCAAGCUAUCAAAGGAAGGGGACACAGCUCUCCAUAUAGCAGCUGGCAAAGCACACUGGUUUUGUGAGAAAGCUUCUUGAACAGAUGAAAAUAGAGGAUUUAGCUAUCAAAAAUAAUGCCGGUAACACAGCUUUUUUUCUUGCUGCUGCGUCUGGAGAGGUUGAAAUCAUCAAGGCCAUGAUGAAGAAGAAUGGAGACUUAACAAAGAACCUAGGUAAUAAUGGCAUUUUACCACUUCACAAGGCAGCUCUGAUGGGAAACAAAGAGAUUGUACAAUACCUUUAUGGAGCCACUCAAGAUGAAAAAUUAGAUAAUGAUAAUGAUCGCAUCGAAUUGCUUAUCAGCCUGGUAAACCGCAGCUUGUAUGAUUGUUGUAUUACUAGAUAUUGCGCUGGAUUUGGUACAGAGGCACCCAGAGCUAGCCACUGCACGAGAUAAAAAUGAGGAGAUAGCAUUGCACUCCUUGGCUCGAAGGCAUGUAUUGACACGUGUUGUUGAUCUAACAGCACAUGGAGUUUUGAAGAAAAUUUUUAAUAUGUGUUAGUCCUCUCUAAUCUUUAACACCUUCAGAAUGUUAUAAUUAGUUCUUAUUCCUUUUUAUUUUUUUAUUUUUUAUUUUGUUUGGAAAAACAUUAUUUUUUUCUUUGAACUUGAUUGAUUAGAUGUUCCUCAACCAACUACCGUAGGAAGUAAAGGAAAUUUUGCAUCCACUGGAUGCUGAAGCUACAAAUGUAGAAGGGAAAACAGCUAGGGCUAUAUUUACUGAACAACACAAAGAGUUAAAGGAUAAAGCUGAGAGAUGGAUUAAGGAUACUGUAAAUUCUUGCUUGAUGGCAGCAACAAUUAUUGCCACUGAGGUUUUUGCAGCAGCUUUAAAAGAAACAGGCGGCUCCAAAGAAAAGACUGGGACUCCUCAUUUUGUUCAAAGAGCUUCCUUCAUAAUUUUUGCCAUAUCAGAUGCCAUAGCGCUAAUAUUAUCCUCUUACUCCAUACUAAGGUUCUUAUCUGUUAUCUGUUCCCGAUAUGCAGAAGAAGAUUUCAUUUCGCCAUUACCUCUGUUUUUGGGUUCUGGAUUAGCAGCACUUUCUCUAUCAAUAUCAGCAAUGAUGGAAGUGUUUUGUACGACUAUGUUCAUUGUCUUCAAAGAUGGGAUGCUGUGGAUUCCUAUUCCUGUUACGGUAAUGGCUUAUUUCAUGAGCUUCAUGUUCUUGGAGAAAGUUCUAACUAUCAUUGAAGAUGUAGUGCGUUUUAGCAAUAAUAACAGGAGUUCACUCUUCAAGUCCUCUGCUGAAGAGCCUUUUUAAAGGUGGGAAGAAACUCGAUGUACCUUAACAAUUAGAAUAGUACUUAACAAGGGCGUAUUGGGCGCGCAGAAUACGAGCCAAGGGCCCUGUUGUGGACCGCCCAGCACUCGGGCGCUUUUAUCUUAUAGAUUAUGAGUUUGUAUGAUUAGAGCCAUGUCUCGUACAAAUAAGAGUGAUUCUUCUUAUGAUGAAUGCUACUUAUAUUUUUAACUU